AAAAAAAAAAAGGAACAUCCGGUGGAAUUUCUGGUGGCACCUGAACAAUCCUGGAAGUGGAACGUCCUCGACAUAGACUACAGUUCAAGUAACCCACAGGCGAUUUUGCGCUGAAACAGGCUUUGACGUGGCCUCCUCUGGAGAAUACAACCUGCCCUGGCUUCACACUGAGUCCUGGUCACAGCUGAAGGGUUACAUCAUGAAUAUUUUGGCAGGAGUAGCUUGGUGACAGGUCCCUUGAAGUGUGAGACUUGAAGGAAGAGUGGUUCUUUUGAAGGCAGGUAGAAGGCGUUGCGGGGCUGAGAGGUGCUGGAAAGGGCAUGUCCAAACAGACUUUAGGCCCUGAGUGAUGGGACACGGGAAAUGGCUUUUGCAAGUUUAUCUCCCAUGGAAGUGGAUACAUUUAGGAGGCAAUGCAUCAUCUUCAAAUGGAGUUUAAAGGCCUCAACUUAUAAGCACUGCUUCUAUCGUGAAACAUGAA